CGUUCUUUCUCCCUUCUCCCUUCUCCUGCGCUCCUCCUUCUCCGAUCCCCACCAUGGCGCCAGAUCCGGCCGCCGAUCUCUCCGCGCGCGCCAGGCCGCCGUCCUCCUCCCCGAUGAGCACGCACGCACGCACUCCUCCUCCUCCCCGAUGCCUCAGCGCCCCCAGCUCCACCGCCGCCCCCCGACAACUGUGACCGACCCUCGCCGCCGGCGAAUCCCGCCGCGGGGGACGCGGAAUGGCGCUGGAGCUGAGCCUGGUGUCCACGGCUUCCCCGGCCGGCGGCGCGGCGAGCCCUCCCCCGCCCGCCCCGCUGGGGAAGGAGCAGCAGGUGGCCAGGGUGGGGAUCCUGCUGCAGAUCUCCAUGCUCGUGCUCUCCUUUGUGCUCGGACACGUCCUCCACCGCCACCGGUUCUACUACCUCCCCGAGACCAGCGCGUCUCUCCUCAUCGGCCUCUUGCAAUCCAGCCUCUCCUCAAAUCCAUACCUCCCUCACAUCAACCGUUCUGUGUGCAAGCCUCAACCCUGCACCCCUUCAUCCUACAAGCGCACAUGAUUGCACUCGAGUCAUGUAAGCAGUUGGGAAAGACCCAAAAGAUUGUUAUAUAGCUGUCCUGACAUAGCGAGGAGUAGCAACUUACUCGCAGUUGGGAAAGACCCAGAAGAUUGCUAUAUAGUUGUCCUGACAUAGCAAGAAUCAGAUCGUGAUAAAGAUAAAGAUCAAGGUACUUGCAGCAUAUAUUUGAUAAGUCUAACUCAUUACAUUCUAUUCCCUGUGUAAUAUAGGAUCCACGGAUAAAAUUGUUUGUUUUUCCUAAGAUCUCGGCAUAAAACAAUAGUGAAUAGAAAUUAGUGUUUCAUGUGUGUUUUCCAGCAAGUUCAGUGUGCAUAUUUUAUCUUUUCUAAUGUGCCCGCCGCAACGCUCGGGGUUUCAUCUAGUAAUUAUAAUACCAUUGAAGCACGGUUGCGAGGCGUAGUGUGAAUAACUUUUUGUGCCUAAAGUGUCGGUCAUUUUUGGGCCCAAAACUCUAGAAGCCAUACAAACGGCCCAUAAGUGAAAGAAAAAAAAAACGUUACAAUAUAUAAAGCUUAGAACCAGCUUAAUUGCUUGAGUUGACACACUGCGAGAAAAUGAAAUCUGCAUACAACAGCAAGUCUAGCAGGGAUCCUAAACCUCCGAAAUUUACACUAUCUGGCACUUUUUUGAAAAGUUAUUACAAAAAUAAACCGGUUUUAAAUUUUUUUUUAAAAUAAUAAACCUAAGACACGCCAUAACCUAACUAGGAGCUACAUAUCGAAAAUGCUUACACAAUAAACACAUUGCAAGUAUACGAAUAUUCCUAAUGCAUAGUUCAAUAUGUAUUUAUGCUCUAUUUCUAUUUAUACCGCAAUAACCACCUAGGGUUCAUAUGAAACCAUAUCGUACCAUAUACAAGAGAUUGCCAAUGGGCUUGGUGCAGACCUCGCUGACUCAGCGAGCUAGGUCAAGCUCAGUCAUUCGGGGCAUCUAGGUGUCCGAGACCUCGUGCUAAAUCCCCUGGCAUAGAGAUGCAUGACCUCCAUGCCUGUUGUGUGACGCGGAGUGGAUGGUUCAUUUUUUAAAUAAGUUUCCAAACCAGUUUAUUUUCGUAAUUACUUUUCAAAAAAGGCUAAAUAGUGCCAAAACCGGCUUAAACCUAGCUCCUAAACAGUGUAUAAGGGUUAAUUUAAGAAAAAUAGAUCUAGCAAGAACCCUUCUAUAACCCCUAAAAAGAGAUGGCCUUAUGUACCAACUAAUUGAUAAAAUCCCAAUGUAAAAAAAAAAAGAGUUCACAAUAAACUCAAAUGAAACAGAAUCAUUUUAUGAAAAAAAAUUAAAAACAAAUUCAAAUUUUGAACUAUAAAAAUUAUUAUUACAUCCAUACAUGAGUUUUUACCAAGAAAUUGAGAACCAAAUUAUUUAUCAUUUGAAUUUAAAUUUUGG